rnacentral:rRNA from 1 species
UACAGAGGUCACGAACGUUGUCCGGAUUUAUUGGGCGUAAAGCGCUCGCAGGUGGUUCGAUGCGUCGUGCGUGAAAGACCCCGGCUCAACUGGGGAGGGUCGUGCGAUACGGUCGAACUGGAGGCCAGUAGGGGGAUGCGGAAUUCCGGGUGUAGUGGUGGAAUGCGUAGAGAUCCGGAGGAACACCAGCGGCGAAGGCGGCAUCCUGGACUGGUCCUGACACUCACGAGCGAAAGCGUGGGGAGCGAUCCGG